rnacentral:rRNA from 1 species
UACGUAGGGUGCAAGCGUUGUCCGGAAUUAUUGGGCGUAAAGAGCUCGUAGGCGGUUUGUCACGUCGGCCGUGAAAACUCGGGGCUCAACCCCGAGCCUGCGGUCGAUACGGGCAGACUAGAGUGCUGUAGGGGAGACUGGAAUUCCUGGUGUAGCGGUGAAAUGCGCAGAUAUCAGGAAGAACACCCGUGGCGAAGGCGGCUCUCUGGGACGGUACUGACGCUGAGACGCGAAAGCGUGGGGAGCGAACAGG